UAUGAAAUAAUCUUUGCUGAAAAAAUAUGAAAUAAUCUUUGCUGAAAAAAUAUGAAAUAAUCUUUGCUGAAAUAACCAUUUGGUUCCAAAAGGGUUGAUGGGUCUAAUCUCCCAAGCUGUCUAUGAUGGUGGCCACCACGUCUUAGGGUAAUUUCUCUCUCUCUCUCUCUCUUCUCCACUCAUAAACUCCAUUAUUUAUUUUUUUGCAGAGUGAUUCCAAAAACUCUUAUGCCUAGAGAGGUAUCAAGCAUACAAUUACAAGAUGACCUUUUGUCAAUGUUAGUUUCUGGGCAUGAGACCACUGGUUCUGUGUUAACUUGGAUAGCAUAUCUUCUGAGCAAGGGACACCAGUGUGAGCAUUUCAUACCCUGGUGUCAAUGGCGUUGGUACCAGCACCGGCGGAAGCGGUUCUGAUGGGGGGUCCGAUAGCAGCAGUGGCAAUGGCGGGAACUUUUUUGGGAUGAUAUUUGGGAGCAGCGCGCCACCACCACCUUCAUCAUCUACAACCACUACCAUCCUCUUGUCUCUUUCAAUUAUUUUAAGUUUAUACAUUACCACCAACUAUGGUACUCUAUUAUCAUUAUCAUUGUUAUCAUCAUUGUUAUCAUCUCACAGAUUCAUUCAAUAAGAAUUUACUGAUGAAAUGGAAAGGAGGCAUUUCUAGUUAAUUUCUGAAUUUCUUGUUCCUGAUGCUUUAAUUCUAUAUCUUGUUUCUCUUUUAAUCUUUAUAUGGUAAUUUUUUUGAUUUGUUUGGUUUUCUUCUCAGGGGUAUGUUUUAAAAUCAGAAAAUAUGAAGAAGUUUUUUGACUAUAUACAACUUCCAAAUUUCAAUGUUGCUGCCAAUGCUAUAGAAACCUUUAA